rnacentral:rRNA from 1 species
GACGAACGCUGGCGGCGUGCUUAACACAUGCAAGUCGAACGGAAAGGCCCUGCUUUUGUGGGGUGCUCGAGUGGCGAACGGGUGAGUAACACGUGAGUAACCUGCCCUUGACUUUCGGAUAACUUCAGGAAACUGGGGCUAAUACCGGAUAGGAGCUCAUGCUGCAUGGUGGGGGUUGGAAAGUUUCGGCGGUUGGGGAUGGACUCGCGGCUUAUCAGCUUGUUGGUGGGGUAGUCGCUUACCCAGGCGUUGACGGGUAGCCCGCCUGAGAAGGUGACCGGCGGCACAGGGACCUAGGGACGGCAGAGACGGGGACUGGAGGCAACAGGGGGGAAGAUUGCACAAUGCAUGCAAGCCGGAUGCAGCAGCGCCUCGUGUGGUAAAGCGGCUUUGUGGGGAUAAACCAGUUGCACCUUAGACGAACCCUGAUCUACGGGAAUGGAUAAAAAAGACACGGCUUACUACGUU